GACAAACGCUGGCGGCGUGCCUAAUACAUGCAAGUCGAACGGGGAAAGCUUUCGGGUGAGUACUAGUGGCGCACGGGUGAGUAACGCGUGGAUAAUCUGCCUUAGAGUGGGGGAUAACUAGUCGAAAGAUUAGCUAAUACCGCAUAAGACCACAAGAACUGCGGUUCAAGGGGUCAAAGGUUUUUCGCUCUAAGAUGAGUUCGCGUAAGAUUAGCUAGUUGGUAGGGUAAAGGCCUACCAAGGCGACGAUCUUUAACUUGUCUGAGAGGAUGCUCAGUCACAAGGAAACUGAGACACGGUCCAGACUCCUGCGGGAGGCAGCAGUAGGGAAUAUUGCACAAUGGAGGAAACUCUGAUGCAGCGACGCCGCGUGAGUGAUGAAGGCCUUCGGGUCGUAAAGCUCUGUCGCAGGGGAAUAACACAAUGAAGGUACCCUGUAAGAAAGGAUCGGCUAACUUCGUGCCAGCAGCCGCGGUAAUAC
rnacentral:rRNA from 1 species